GCGGAGGAAAAGAAACCAACAGGGAUUGCCUCAGUAACGGCGAGUGAAGCGGCAACAGCUCAAAUUUGAAAUCUGGCCCUUUCAGGGUCCGAGUUGUAAUUUGCAGAGGGUGCUUUGGUGUCGGCCGUGGUCUAAGUUCCUUGGAACAGGACGUCACAGAGGGUGAGAAUCCCGUACGUGGCCGCCGGUCUUCACCGUGUAAAGCCCCUUCGACGAGUCGAGUUGUUUGGGAAUGCAGCUCUAAAUGGGAGAUACAUUUCUUCUAAAGCUAAAUAUUGGCCAGAGACCGAUAGCGCACAAGUAGAGUGAUCGAAAGAUGAAAAGCACUUUGGAAAGAGAGUCAAAAAGCACGUGAAAUUGUUGAAAGGGAAGCGCUUGCAGCCAGACGUGCCCGCAGUUGCUCACCUGGGCUCUCGCCCGGGGCAUUCUUCUGCGGGCAGGCCAGCAUCAGUUCGGGCGGUUGGAUAAAGGCCUCUAUCACGUAUCUUCCUUCGGGAUGACCUUAUAGGGGAGGCGCAACACGACCAGCCUGAACUGAGGACCGCGCAUCAGCUAGGAUGCUGGCGUAAUGGCUGUAAGCGGCCCGUCUUGAAACACGGACCAAGGAGUCUAACAUCUAUGCGAGUGUUUGGGUGUAAAGCCCGGGCGCGCAAUGAAAGUGAACGGAGGUGGGAACCCCUCGGGGUGCACCAUCGACCGAUCCUGAAGUCUUCGGAUGGAUUUGAGUAAGAGCAUAGCUGUUGGGACCCGAAAGAUGGUGAACUAUGCCUGAAUAGGGUGAAGCCAGGGGAAACCCUGGUGGAGGCUCGCAGCGGUUCUGACGUGCAAAUCGAUCGUCAAAUUUGGGCAUAGGGGCGAAAGACUAAUCGAACCAUCUAGUAGCUGGUUCUGCGA
rnacentral:sRNA from 1 species